CCUACGGGUGGCUGCAGUGGGGAAUAUUGGACAAUGGGGGCAACCCUGAUCCAGCCAUGCCGCGUGUGUGAAGAAGGCCCUCGGGUUGUAAAGCACUUUCAGUGAGGAAGAACGCCUGGUGGUUAAUACCCAUCAGGAAAGACAUCACUCACAGAAGAAGCACCGGCUAACUCCGUGCCAGCAGCCGCGGUAAUACGGAGGGUGCGAGCGUUAAUCGGAAUUACUGGGCGUAAAGCGCGCGUAGGUGGCUUGAUAAGCCGGUUGUGAAAGCCCCGGGCUCAACCUGGGAACGGCAUCCGGAACUGUCAAGCUAGAGGGCAGGAGAGGAAGGUAGAAUUCCCGGUGUAGCGGUGAAAUGCGUAGAGAUCGGGAGGAAUACCAGUGGCGAAGGCGGCCUUCUGGACUGACACUGACGCUGAGGUGCGAAAGCGUGGGUAGCAAACAGGAUGAGAUACCCGGGUAGUC
rnacentral:rRNA from 1 species